ensembl:snoRNA SNORA74 Small nucleolar RNA SNORA74
CCCAGCUCUAGGUAGCUGCUAGGUUGAUUGUCCCUAGGCAAGUGUUACACUGCUGGGAGAAAAGCAGCCUAAUUAGCUGGCAGGCAUCCUGAGCUUGGUUUAAUGCCAAAAUUUGUGUUAACUAUAUCAGUGGACCAGCAUAGUUGCCUUAAAAA